rnacentral:pre_miRNA from 1 species
AGUGGAAUUGCUGGGUCAUGUGGUAAUUCUAUGUUUACCUUUUUGAGGAACUGCCAAACUGUUUUCCACAGCUGCUGAACCAUUUUGCAUUCCCACCAGCAAU